rnacentral:SRP_RNA from 1 species
GCCGGGCGUGGUGGCCGGCGCCUGUAAUCCCAGCUACUUGGGAGGCUGAGGCAGGAGAAUGGUGUGAACCUGGGAGGCAGAGCUUGCAGUGAGCCGAGAUCGCGCCACUGAACUCCAGCCUGGCAACAGAGACUCCCUCUCAAAAAAAAAAAAAAAAAAAAAAGGCCAAGUCUCGCUCUGCUACCCAGGCUGGAGUGCAGUGGUGCCGUCUCGGAUCACUGCAACCUCCGCCUCCCACGUUCAAGCAAUUCUCAUGCCUCAG